CAUUUAUUGAUGAGAUCACACAGCGUGUGACACAAGACGUUGAGUCUAGGUUCACUACGACAAUCAAGAACCUCACGGCACGUGUUUUGUUCUUAGAGUCACAGGGUGUGGCUGGGAGUAUGGGCUUGAGAGAGGUGUCAGAUGCAUCUAGUGGGCAACAAGCUUCAAAAAAAAAUGAAUAGGAAGUUCCUUAGCUUUCAGGUUGAUAACUUGGAAUUUCUGAGGGAAAUGAGGAUCAACCCAAUAAAGGUGUUAUGCCAGUUCAUUGAUAGAGUGGAGAAACACCCGAGCAAGAAAAUUGAUGAGAAGAUUGGCCAGUUCUGGAUUGUAUUUUUUUCAUAAAAGAAUUUUUUCCAAGUUUUUAGUUGUAAUAACUUUUACAUGUAGCUCAAAAUUUGAG